UACGAAGGGGGCUAGCGUUGCUCGGAAUCACUGGGCGUAAAGCGCACGUAGGCGGCUUUCUAAGUCAGGGGUGAAAUCCUGGAGCUCAACUCCAGAACUGCCUUUGAUACUGGAAGAUCUUGAGUUCGGGAGAGGUGAGUGGAACUGCGAGUGUAGAGGUGAAAUUCGUAGAUAUUCGCAAGAACACCAGUGGCGAAGGCG
rnacentral:rRNA from 1 species